rnacentral:lncRNA from 1 species
GUGAGGCCUCUGAGGGGACCCGGCGGUGGCGGCCACGGCGAGACGGGCCGCCCACCAGUUGAACUCCGACAGCUGAGGCGGCUGAGGAGAUUAGACUCCAGAGAUAAUGAUAUUAGGAAAUCUAAACUGAAAUGGACCCCAGAGCAAUUGAAGAAAGAAAGAGUCAAGCUUCGAAGCUGUGGGAUGUCAGCACGGGCCAUUUGAUGAAGCCCUUCAGGUCUCGGCAGGAAGAAAGAAUGAAGAGAUCAUUAAAACCGAGAGCAUGUUUCCAAGAUCCAGAUUAUCACUCUCCAAAAGCAACUUGAGACCAUAAAACUCCUUCAACCUAUACUGGGCUGUCAUUUGAUAAAGAAGAGAUGUGCAUGAGCAGCCUUCAACAGUAUAAAGGUAAAUGAGAACAACAACCAUCGACUUCAUUUGCUAUCAGCUUUGUAUUACAUCCCUUCUAUAACUUUGGUUACUUUUUGUUAGGUGGCUGUCCUUCUGUC